UACGUAGGAGGCAAGCGUUGUCCGGAAUUACUGGGCGUAAAGCGCGUGUAGGUGGUGGGACAAGUCUGCUGUGAAAGCGCCUGGCUUAACCGGGCGAGGUCGGCGGAAACUGUUCGACUCGAGGACGGUAGAGGGGGGUGGAAUUCCCGGUGUAGUGGUGAAAUGCGUAGAGAUCGGGAGGAACACCUGUGGCGAAGGCGACUACCUGGCCUGUUCUGACGCUGAGGCGCGAAAGCCAGGGGA
rnacentral:rRNA from 1 species